UACGUAGGUGACAAGCGUUGUCCGGAUUUACUGGGCGUAAAGAGCGCGCAGGCGGUCGAUCAAGUCGAGUGUGAAAGUCCAGGGCUCAACCCUGGGAUGCCGGUGGAUACUGUCGGGCUCGAGUCCGGAAGAGGAGUGUGGAAUUCCUGGUGUAGCGGUGAAAUGCGCAGAUAUCAGGAGGAACACCGGUGGCGAAGGCGGGUCUCUGGGCCGAUACUGACGCUGAGGAGCGAAAGCGUGGGGAGCGAACAGG
rnacentral:rRNA from 1 species